GGAUGUUAGCGGCGGACGGGUGAGUAACACGUGGGUAACCUGCCUGUAAGACUGGGAUAACUCCGGGAAACCGGAGCUAAUACCGGAUAGUUCCUUGAACCGCAUGGUUCAAGGAUGAAAGACGGUUUCGGCUGUCACUUACAGAUGGACCCGCGGCGCAUUAGCUAGUUGGUGAGGUAACGGCUCACCAAGGCGACGAUGCGUAGCCGACCUGAGAGGGUGAUCGGCCACACUGGGACUGAGACACGGCCCAGACUCCUACGGGAGGCAGCAGUAGGGAAUCUUCCGCAAUGGACGAAAGUCUGACGGAGCAACGCCGCGUGAGUGAUGAAGGUUUUCGGAUCGUAAAGCUCUGUUGUUAGGGAAGAACAAGUGCAAGAGUAACUGCUUGCACCUUGACGGUACCUAACCAGAAAGCCACGGCUAACUACGUGCCAGCAGCCGCGGUAAUACGUAGGUGGCAAGCGUUGUCCGGAAUUAUUGGGCGUAAAGGGCUCGCAGGCGGUUUCUUAAGUCUGAUGUGAAAGCCCCCGGCUCAACCGGGGAGGGUCAUUGGAAACUGGGAAACUUGAGUGCAGAAGAGGAGAGUGGAAUUCCACGUGUAGCGGUGAAAUGCGUAGAGAUGUGGAGGAACACCAGUGGCGAAGGCGACUCUCUGGUCUGUAACUGACGCUGAGGA
rnacentral:rRNA from 1 species